CUGCUGAGAAGAGAGCUGCUAAUUAAACAUCUGAGAAUGUGAAGGAGCUAGGUCAUGGUCACACAGAAAGGUUCUUGAAUCAGGCCUGGAGAAUCCCCUGUCCUCUUCCCUCUCAAGUGGAGUCACAGUGGGUUUGGGGCUUGGAUGCCCAGUUGAAGAAGGUGAGACUUUAGGCAGGCCAACCCAAGGAACCACGUAUUUCUGGCCAUGUCCUUCUAACUCCUGGGUCAGGAGGAGCCCCCUACCCCCGUCUCCAACCCAUAUUCAGUUCAAUUCAAUCAGCAUUUCCUAGGUAACCCUCAUGUGCCAUGCACUGUGCCAAGUGAUACAGACAUGACCAAGACCCCAUUCUUGCUUGGAGUUGCUCACAGUCUAAUGAAAGAACUUGCUUAUGGAGCCUCUUCGCAGGCCUUUGAAGCCACCCUGGCACUGACCUAAUGAUGGAGUGGGUGGAAAGGUGGCAUUGGAGGCUUGCCCAAAGACAUUGCUAAGGCUGCCUGCCGGGCUGCAGUGGAUGCAGUCUCAGGCCACUGCCAGUUGAUGUCCCAGACUGAGGCCAACCAGAAACUUGGAGGGUUUUGCAUGGACUAUGUGGGUAGAAAACCCAAGUGACUAUUAUUUUUCUAUGACGCUGUAGUGACCAGGGGCAUCUAUGGAUGGUGAGAUUGCUACUGUCCACCCAACCCCCCCACUGAGGAGCUAGAUGGAGCACCCUGAGUUGCUGCAGACAGGACAGCAGAAAAGCUGCCCUUCACUCCAUGGAAGCAGGCAUCCUUCUUAGAGACACCAGGGGAGCUGUUGGAUGUGUUGGGGGAUCAGGAAGUGGAGCCCCCUCCCUCAGCCCUCAACCUCUCUGUAGGAAAAAUGGAGGGCCGAGUAAGAGACCCCUGGAAUUGUUCUUUAUUUCCUAGACCUCUACCCCAACCCUUUAACCCCCACUCCAGCUUUCCGGCCCCUUAGCCAUCUUUGUCCCAUACGCUUCAGUCAAAGGAGAUGCUAGAAAGGUGAAGAGGCUGGCUCAGGGGUUGCUCAGUCGUGUCCAACUCUUUGCGACCCCAUGGACCGUAGCCUACCAGGCUCCUCCCUCCAUGGGAUUCUCCAGGAAAGAGUACUGGAGCGGAUUGCCAUUUCCCUCUCCAGGGGAUCUUCCUGACCUGGGUCUCCCUCAUUCCAGGCAGAGGCUUUAACUUCUGAACCACCAGGGAAGGGGGGCAGAGCCAAAGCCUGAGAGGGGAGAGGGUGGAGGACUGGACGUUCCAGCCAGAGACGGGUCCUCACACUGCAGGGGGUUCCACUCCUUCCCCACCUUCCCAUUCCCUCUGAGACGCUGGGUCUGACCACAGCUUUUGAGCUUUAAGCUACCCCUUCACUCCCAGUAUCCUUCCAGUGUGAAUCCCACUCCUCCCAAUACCCCAGAUUCCUACAGCAUUUGUUUAUCUUGUCUUUUUGUAGUGAUUUUUUUCCCACACCGUAGUAGGAAUUUUAUGAAGGUAUAAUAAAU
ensembl:lncRNA